UCGUCGGUUAAAUUUCCUCGAUUUUUUUAAUGUUUUUUUCUAUUAUAGUAACAUUUUAGGUUUAAAAUAUUCUAUCAGAAUGUCGAGCGCGUUACAGAGCACUAUAUCGUACAUAAUUCAGCUCGGAUUUAUUCUCAGAUUCGUAAUAAACGGGGUCCUGUAGUACGGAGUCAUAACUGUUUUUUUGUGAUCCUUCAGAGAGAAGUGCAACGGAGAAAUGUCAUUGAUGCGGAUUCUUAGCUCUUAUCUUGAACGUCAUAUCUUUAGUGUUAUUAGUGCGCGUUCACCGUUAAAAUGUGUUCGAUUCUUGUGCUCUAAAUUCUCAGUUUUAGUGCGAGAAAAUGCUGUUUUUCCACUCCGAUCCCAACGCGCUCCAGCCGUGGACUGCAGGACUCAUCUUGUUCCAAAUCUCUCCGUUUUCAUGCCAAACUGCUCAUCAUGUUUUCAAGCGCAGCGUUUCGUUAGUGUAGGCUGCAUAAUCGGCAGACUGUAAAUAUUUUCCUAAUCAUCGAUAACUAUUCAAAGUAACAAUCACCAAAUCACUCGUUGAAAACCUGUCUUUUUCCUUAUGAAAAUGCUCAUCAUGUUUUCAAGCCCAGCAUUUCGCUAAUGUAUGCUGCAUAAUCGGCAGAUUGUUAAUCAUUUUAUGAAUCAUCACACAUUGAAAACCUGUCUUUUUCCGUAUGAAAAUGCUCACCAUGUUUUCAAGCCCAGCAUUUCGCUAAUGUAAGCUGCAUAGUUGGCGAAUUGUAGAAGAUCCAGCAAUCAUGAUAUGUGAAUUCAAAUCUUCAAUGUAAUGUGUUAAACUUGUCUACGUCUAGUGAUGCUCAAUGUUGUUUAUCUAAUGAUUAGUUUCUGUCACAUCACCUAGCAAGAGUGUGUCACCAUUGCCCUCGAUUUUGUUGUAAAAUGAAAAUAAAAUUUUAUCAAUUAAAGCCUUCUAAAAUCUUG